rnacentral:rRNA from 1 species
GACGAACCGUGCGAACGUUGUUCGGAAUCACUGGGCUUAAAGGGCGCGUAGGCGGCCAUCUAAGUCAGACGUGAAAUCCCCCGGCUUAACCUGGGAACUGCGUCUGAUACUGGACGGCUUGAGUAUGGGAGAGGGAUGUAGAAUUCCAGGUGUAGCGGUGAAAUGCGUAGAUAUCUGGAGGAAUACCGGUGGCGAAGGCGGCAGCCUGGACCAUUACUGACGCUGAGGCGCGAAAGCUAGGGGAGCAAACGGG